GCGUGGACGACGCGGCUCGAACGCAGCGGGCCGAAAGUAACUGGUGGCAGCCAGAGGAGGAGGGGCGGAGACGCUGAAGGAAAGAAAUCACGCCUGCGUAAACAAGGACCGUGGCGGAAGAGAGGCGGGACGAACGCCACCUGGUGACUCCAGUAGGGAGCGCACUCGUUUUGCUCUACUGCGUCGACGUGAUUGCGGCUCCAGCGCGGCCACUCCUGGUCCGGGUUGACUCUGACCGGAAGUGGCUCCUGGCGCCCUCACGUGGUCGUGAGUGGCCUGGUCUGUUCAUUCCCUGAUUAUGCAUGUUAGGUCCCCCAAAGAUGGUAGCACUGUUGUCAAGCCAUUAUGAACUCUGUAACCCCCACGUACGCCUCCAGAUGGCUACCUGGAGCCUGAAAGUCUGAAACAAUAAGACAACAAAGGACAACAGGUUCCUGUUCCGGCCGACCGAUCAACCCACUGAGUCAACAACAACCAACCCUAACCUGUAACUUUCCACUCAUUGCCCUGGCCUAUUAUCCCCACCUCCACGCUGACUCCUUUUUCAGACUCAGCCCGUCACACUCAGGUGAAUAAACAGACUUGCUGCUCACA